ACGCUCGACACCUACGGGUGGCAGCAGUCGGGAAUAUUGCGCAAUGGAGGAAACUCUGACGCAGUGACGCCGCGUAUAGGAAGAAGGUUUUCGGAUUGUAAACUAUUGUCGUUAGGGAAGAAAAAAAGACAGUACCUAAGGAGGAAGCUCCGGCUAACUACGUACCAGCAGCCGCGGUAAUCUGAGCGGGCUGGCAAGGC
rnacentral:rRNA from 1 species